GCGCGAGGUACUGUGGGUAGGAGACGGCCUUCGACGGAGGCGCCAUUUUGUGAAGCGGUGGACCCUGCUGCAAAUCUGGAGCAUAAAACCGCUACUGCUGCUACUUCUGUCUUUCUUGGGGAAAAAACAAAAUUUGAACCUUUUGGAGCAGUGUGCUAGAUCUUCAGUAGGACAAUGGGUUCAGACAAACGAGUGAGUAGAACAGAGCGCAGUGGAAGGUAUGGUUCCAUCAUAGACAGGGAUGACCGUGAUGAGCGUGAAUCCAGAAGCAGGCGGAGGGACUCAGAUUAUAAAAGAUCUAGUGAUGAUCGGAGGGGUGAUCGAUACGAUGACUACCGAGACUAUGACAGUCCAGAGAGAGAACGUGAAAGAAGGAACAGUGACCGAUCUGAAGAUGGCUACCAUUCAGAUGGUGACUAUGGCGAGCAUGACUAUAGGCAUGACAUCAGUGAUGAGAGGGAGAGCAAGACCAUCAUGCUUCGCGGCCUUCCUAUCACCAUCACGGAGAGCGAUAUUCGAGAAAUGAUGGAAUCAUUUGAAGGCCCUCAGCCUGCGGACGUGAGGCUGAUGAAGAGGAAAACAGGUGAGAGGUUGCUUAGUUCCUGCUAUUCUGGUUCUCUUCCCCAUUCCCACCUCAGUCCCUAAAGAACAUCCUGAUAUCCCCAAUCUUCAAGCACAUGAAUUCAGAAUGAAAGGUUUGCCAUGGCUAAGGAAUGUGACUCUUUGAAAACGAUGUUAGGAAGCAUCUGAGGACCUUUUUAAAAACUUUGUUUCUAGGGGCUUUUUUUUCUUCGGUAAGUAGUGAUUUAUAAACUCCUUGUUUGACUGUUUGUAGUCGGUUGCAUGGUUACUUUUUAAGCGUGGAAUCAGAUCGAGUGGCAUUUAGUUCAGGCGGCUUGGUUCCUUGCCAUGGCAAAGUAUCAAGAAGAUCCCCAAGUCAAGUCACAUUUGUAAAGCUGCUUCCCAAUUGGCUUUGUCACGCAGUGUUGAAGCAGUGGGAGAGAGAUUCACCUGUUAUAAAGGAACUGACUAACACGAGUAUCCCGUCUAUAUCUGAAUGCUGUCUCUAGGUGUAAGCCGUGGUUUCGCCUUCGUGGAGUUUUAUCACUUGCAAGAUGCUACCAGCUGGAUGGAAGCCAAUCAGGUUGCUUCACUCACCAAGUCUAGAUAUUCAUGAAAAUGGAACAAGUCUGUACAAUUAAAAAAAAAAAGGUUGAAGGAGUGGUUUGUUCCAAAGGAGUGACUUUUAAAAAAGAAAAGCUUUGUAUAUAUUAAAAUUGAUAUUACUAGAAUAAAUACCAUGCAAAGCACCACUACAUUGCAGAAUUUGCUCUGCCUUUAAAUGUGGCUACCUGGCAGGGCUUUGUUAACCCCUGAAUAUCUUGAACAUCUCAAAUAUUCCUCUUUCCUUGCCUGAUUAUAUUCCUAUUUAUUAUGUCCAUUGAGAGUAAUCUUAGAAUAUCUAACUCUCAAUUUGACAGUGAAGAGAGUAUAAAAGAAGUCUGCUACAGAAAUUUUAUAAGUAACUCUUUAUUUCUGCUUUGAGAUCACAAGCCUCUUGGAGGCAUAACUGCUCAUAUGGGUCUUCAAGAACUAUUUAAGGACCUAGUAGAAUUUAUGAACAAUAAGUCUGAUGAGACUAGCUUGGGAGCUGAUGUCCUGCCGCUGUCUGAUCUAGUUAGAGUGGCAUUAACAUUCUAAUCUCCUUGAGAAUACCUUUUAUAGUCUCUUCAAAGCAAAUCAUUGAUGAUUCUUUGAUGCAGCAUUAACUGAAGUGUUCUACAGUUUGUCAAGAUAAUGUUCAGUGCUUGGCACUUAAAUAACAUUUUUUGCAAGAACUCCAAAGCACAGUAUCGAAUGCCUUAACCAAGUGCAUUCUGGGGAAGUUUGCUUAACUCAUUAUGUUGCUUUUCUGCAGCAUUUUAUGAUUUGUCACUCAUAAAUAAGAGUUAUAUUCUUUGGUAAUUUAUUGUCAUUUAUAGCAAGACUCAGGAAUGGGGGGUAUCAUUUUGAUUGACUGAUUUGUUAGAUUUUUCAGCCUGUUUCCUUAACCCAGAGGUGACAAUCUGGUCAUAUAAAAGUAGAUCUUCAUUCAUUUCAUACCAUGGACACCAUCCUGAUAAAUUCAGAGUAUAUGCAAGUGUUAUGUGAGUCCACUUUCUUUACAUGACAGCAUCUUUUAAUGCAGUGAAUAUAUCAGAAUUACUUGUUUGGGAGUUUAAAGCUCCUAGGAAAUUAAAACCUGUAAGACACUUGAAGAUCUCCACAAUUUUAAUGUAUACAAAGCUAUGUUAAUGUGUAAUAUUUCAUUACAAUUCAAAUUCACUCCAAAAAUAAAAGGCCAAUAGGAUUAGGGACUCAGUGGUAGUUUGGAGUCUCCCCUAGCACAUAUCCCUUCUAAUGGGAUGAUCUGUUGACAUAUCUCCCAGCCUCUUUGUUUUUGCUUCUGUACAACACAGUGAGUGGAUGGCCCUUCAGCUUUUUCCCUCUUGGCCAGACAUGCAGUCUUGCCUUUAGAUAUUGCAGAGACAACAUUCACAGCAUGUCUUUAACUCUUCCAGGAUUUGCAAGAAUCAAAUUGCUCAACAGUAUGUAUGUUUAGAGGGGUUAGACUCCUUUAAAAUUUUUUGGAUACCUAACCUCCUACUUAAAUCUGUUCUGACAGUGUCAGAACAUCCCACUCCCUUCCCCUCCCCCAAGAAAAAAAUUUUUUUUUCCUGUUAAAUGAAGGCUCUUUGGGGGCAGGUGCUGGGUGUACUCUUGGCUAGACUGAUUCAGCUCAGAGUUUUGACCUUUGAAAGUUAAGUCCCUUUAGUCGUGUGGUUGACUUGAAGGAUGAGGUGGUAUAUGAACAUUUACAAACUUCCUAACCCCCUGAAGAAACUUCAUUGGCCUCCUGGUUACUCAUCUCGAAGAGAGUACCAUCUAUUUCACUGAAAGACGCAUCUUUCACUCAGGACAUCACGUGGUUGGAGUUGGCAGGAAGAAAUCUUAUUUAGCUGUUUUAGAGUCGAUGGCAUUCAGAAUAGUCCCUCCUGAGAAAAUUGUAACCAGAUUCCCUUUAAAAAUGAGUUCCUUCCCAUUGUCCCCCAAAGGACACAUCCUGAAGCAGGAAUUUGGGGGAAGGGGAAAAAUAAAGGCUUUCACUUUGCAUAAAGAUGGGGGCCUGGGGAAAAAGUGAAGUGAAGCCCAAGGACACCAUGUUUAAGGGCUGAAGUAGGAGACAACAUCAGAACUGGGAAAGUUGUGUCUUCUGCUUUUUGAAAUAGACUGUCACUCUCAGGCAGCCUGUCAAUGCUGAACGUUAGGACUUCUGUCUCUGCUGGAGACACGGCCUGGUGCAUGUCAGCGUUUAGUGUGUGGCAGCUUUCUCAGCACUCCCUGACUCCGUUUACCUUUACUCCGCAUCCCAUUCUCUUACUGCCUAUCUGAAGGAUUGGAUGGGCAGAGUAUAGGUGGCGGUGGUUGGUCCUCCCCGUAUGUUGUCCAUUUAAUUCCAGAGCACUGAUUUUUCCGAAGUGUGCUCUGCCCUGGGAAAAUGGACACACGUUCCUCACAAUGGAAAUAACUAAUUACUUCUUUUUUUACAGAAAAAGUUGGUGAUUCAAGGAAAGCAUAUCGCAAUGCAUUAUAGCAAUCCCAGACCUAAGUUUGAAGAUUGGCUUUGUAACAAGUGCUGCCUUAACAAUUUCAGGAAAAGACUAAAAUGCUUCCGAUGUGGAGCAGACAAGUUUGAUUCUGAACAGGAAGUGCCCCCUGGAACCACAGAAUCAGUUCAGUCUGUGGAUUACUACUGUGAUACAAUCAUACUUCGAAACAUAGCUCCACACACUGUGGUGGAUUCCAUCAUGACAGCGCUGUCUCCCUACGCGUCCUUAGCUGUCAAUAACAUUCGCCUCAUAAAAGAUAAACAGACCCAGCAGAACAGAGGUUUCGCGUUUGUGCAGCUGUCUUCUGCAAUGGAUGCUUCUCAGCUGCUUCAGAUACUACAGAGCCUCCAUCCUCCUUUGAAAAUUGAUGGCAAAACUAUUGGGGUUGAUUUUGCAAAAAGUGCCAGAAAAGACUUGGUCCUCCCAGAUGGUAACCGGGUCAGCGCCUUCUCUGUGGCUAGUACAGCCAUUGCUGCCGCUCAGUGGUCAUCCACCCAGUCUCAGAGUGGUGAAGGAGGCAGUGUUGACUACAGUUACCUGCAACCAGGCCAAGAUGGCUACGCCCAGUAUGCUCAGUAUUCACAGGAUUACCAGCAGUUUUAUCAGCAACAAGCUGGAGGAUUGGAAUCUGAUGCAUCAUCUGCAUCAGGCACAGCAGUGACCACCACCUCAGCAGCUGUAGUGUCUCAGAGUCCCCAGCUGUAUAACCAAACCUCCAAUACACCCGGCUCUCCGCAGUGCCUGACACAUCCACUUACCAGUAUGAUGAAUCUUCAGGAUAUUAUUAUGAUCCAACCACAGGGCUGUAUUAUGACCCCAACUCACAGUACUACUACAAUUCCUUAACUCAGCAGUACCUGUACUGGGAUGGAGAAAAGGAGACCUAUGUGCCGGCCGCGGAGUCUAACUCCCACCAGCAGACGGGCCUCCCUCCUGCGAAAGAGGGGAAGGAAAAGAAAGAGAAACCCAAGAGCAAAACAGCCCAGCAGAUUGCCAAAGACAUGGAACGCUGGGCUAAGAGUUUAAACAAGCAGAAAGAAAAUUUUAAAAACAGCUUUCAACCUGUCAAUUCCUUGAGGGAAGAAGAAAGGAGAGAAUCUGCUGCAGCAGAUGCUGGGUUUGCUCUCUUUGAGAAGAAGGGAGCCUUAGCAGAAAGGCAGCAGCUCAUCCCUGAAUUGGUGCGAAAUGGAGACGAGGAAAAUCCCCUCAAAAGGGGUCUGGUUGCUGCUUAUAGUGGUGACAGUGACAAUGAAGAGGAGCUAGUGGAGAGACUUGAGAGUGAGGAAGAAAAGCUGGCCGACUGGAAGAAGAUGGCCUGCUUGCUCUGCCGGCGCCAGUUCCCAAACAAAGACGCCCUGGUCAGGCACCAGCAGCUCUCAGACCUACACAAGCAAAACAUGGACAUCUACCGACGAUCCAGAUUGAGUGAGCAGGAGCUGGAAGCCUUGGAGCUGAGGGAGAGAGAGGUGAAUGGGGGUCAUUGUGCCGCUAGAAAGAGUGUCUUGGGAUGAAAUACCGGGAUCGAGCUGCAGAAAGACGAGAGAAGUAUGGCAUCCCAGAACCUCCAGAACCCAAGCGCAAGAAGCAGUUUGAUGCUGGCACUGUGAAUUACGAGCAGCCCACCAAAGAUGGCAUUGACCACAGUAACAUUGGCAACAAGAUGCUGCAGGCCAUGGGUUGGAGGGAAGGCUCGGGUUUGGGAAGAAAGUGUCAAGGCAUCACAGCCCCCAUUGAGGCUCAAGUCCGGCUAAAAGGAGCUGGCCUAGGAGCCAAAGGCAGCGCAUAUGGACUCACUGGUGCAGAUUCCUACAAAGAUGCUGUACGGAAGGCCAUGUUUGCCCGGUUCACUGAGAUGGAGUGAGACUCAGAGGGGUGACAAAGAGCACGGAGUGCUCCAGCUCCUAAAUUCACUCUGACCACCUUUCUCUUUAAGGGCAUGCCUCAUGCUGUUAAUAGUUUUUAGGGUGAACCACUUCAUUCUGAAAGGUUCUCCCACUUAAAGGAGUUCCCCUUGUAUGAGUUAUCUGGUGAAUGGACUGCCUUCCUGCCAGAGGGCUUUUGAGCUGGCCAAGGGGACAGUGGGUCUUUUAUACUUCUGUGUAUAUAGUGUAAUGUAGUGUGUUUUACAUGUGUAGCCUAUGUUAUGAUCCAGCACCCCCUUGCAUUCCUAGGGGUUGUUGAGAUGCCCUAGGUGGUAUGUAACACCAAAGCCGCCUCUGUCAUUCGUUGUGCUGUCUUUUCUUGGCAAAAGCCUUGUGUAUAUUUGUACAUUACACAUUUGUACAGAAUUUUGGAAGAUUUUCAGUCUAGUUGCCAAAUCUGGCUCCUUUACAAAAGAAAUACCUUGGAAAAUGAG